rnacentral:sRNA from 1 species
GAACGCGCCAGGGUCAAGUCUGCACUGAUUUUCAUGGUGAAUGGGUGACAUGGUCGCAUUCAUGUUCAUUUCCGAAAGCGCUAAGCUUUUUCCUUUCUUUUCCUACGUAUUAACCUUCCAGGGUUCAG